UUCAUAAUUGUAUUUUGUGGCUCUCCUACAAUAGGUUUAGAUGUUUUAAUGUUCAAAAAACACUUUUUUUCCCUCAUACUCCCUAUAGCUGAGCAGCUCUUUUCUGUCUGAAUCGAUUUAGCUCCUGUCUCUUUAAGGCCCCCCUCCCGAGAGCCCAGUCUGCUCUGAGUAUGAUAUCUGAUAUUAAUAUUGAAGGCAUUUCUACCGUCAAUAUUAAUUCAAUAACUGCUUCUAAACCAAAAACUUCACCACCAGACAUCUUAGAGCGGGAGUCUGACCUGAAAUCACAGAGAAAUGAACAACAUCAACAAUCAGGAUUACAGCUUUCUGUGACGUUUUCCUCAGGUACAGCAGUGAGCAGUGACCUACAGUCUACACAGCCCAGUGAAGUGAAACAUAUUAUAUGCUUGGAAUCAUUUAUCCUGUACAACAUGUCAACAUAACUGAAGGAAUUACUCAUCUAAUAAAGUAACUUGUUUAUGUGGUUUAAAAACUGCUCAGUAACCAACUGUACUGUACUGUAUCCAUAUUUCAUAGUCUGAUAUUUUAACUUGAAAGUAUUAUUACCAAAGUUAACCUUCAGAUAUUUGUAAAAGCUGCAAUUAUGUUUUACGUUUUAUUUGAUAUAUUAUGAUGUCAUUUAUCUUCCAACAUAAUAAAGUUUGAAUGUGAGACAGUAAUGUAUUGUGUUGCUUACAGUCAUUAAUACAGGUUUAAAUUUCACAUUUUCAUAUUGAUAGAUGUUACACGAACCAGGUUUUCAACUCUUGUACAUGCAGGAAAUCUUCAUAAAACCUCUGUGAAAUAACAUGUUAUUUAUAUAAAACCACACUUAUUACUGAAUUUAAAAAUGACCAGAACUCUUCUUAAAAGUAAAACACUUUAUUUAUGUUUCAUUCAUAUUCCAGUUACAGAUGUUGCAACUAACAAAGCUAUAACUUUUAUGUAAACUGUGCAGAUCAUGUCCUCCAUCAAGGUAUCUUAGGUUUCUAGUAUAUUGAAGUGUGAUCUAGUAAUGGAGCUCUGCAGCCAGUGUUCAUCUUCAUGAGUCUUCCUUUGGAUACCCAGACUGUCCUGAUGCUGCAGCUGUCUCUGUCCUCUGAUGGGUCCAGGAACACCUGAGCUUCAUCAGGUCACCUGUAAGACAAGGCAGAUUCAGUGUUACUUGUAAGACCGCACAUAAUAUACAGUAUAAUAUAAUAUCUCAUGGUAGCUCUAUCUUUACCUCCGGUAAAUUUACAUACAGCAGCACACACACACACACACACACACACACACCUGAACGGAGCUGGAAAAUGGCCAGCAGGAGCUAGCUCAAAUAGUGGCAUCGGAAUAACAAAGCUAGCGCUAGCUGAAGUAACGUUAGCACGUACGUAGAGAGUUCAGGACAGGGACUACACAAGAAGCAACAUGAAAACAACCACCAGGCUCCAACCUAAUGAACGGCUAACUUCGGUUUAACGAUCACACUGUCCCUCGUAUUACAACAUAAAGUCUGACAGACUCAGUAACUAUAGUAACAGUGACAUCACAGAGCUGCUGUGUGCUAAUCAAAGCUACAAUCUUGAAUUUGAAUUUAUACAUGGUACAAGUACGGUGUCUCCUGAUCACAGCUGUAUUGAUCCACACGGUGAACAGAUACUGAGCUACCCAGCAGAUAAUAAGUUACCAGGUUAAAGACAAUUAAACAUAUCUGACGUUAUCUUCCCUGUUCUAUGCAGCUCAACGAGCUAACAGCUGAUGAGCGCUACAGUUUGUUAGCUCGGAGGUUUUCUGCUCUAACAGCGACACAAACAUAUUACUGACUGAGCACGUUUAACAAAAUACAGACGAACAUAAAGCCAAUUUAGCCCGGUCACAAAACCCACAACAGUUAGGGAGUUAGGGAGCCCCCCCCAGCACGAAGCUUGGUGAUUCACGGCAUAAACUUCGUGUGAAUCUCUAUAACAAUAUCAGCAGGGGAGAAUAUGGAGACAUCUGCACCAGCUGGCUUAAUAAAUUAACCUCACUUUAUAAGUUUCAUUUUCAUCUUUUAACAUUUAACAAACAAUAACUACGUUAGCAUCACUGAGGCUCCUGCAGCUAACAGCAGUUAGCAUGAGCUAACAUUACAUGAACAAUGAAAAACAGCAUAAAUUGUUCAAAAUACUUACAGUUACUUCCUCUGCCGUCUCUCCACAGACAGUUGGUAUGAAUCCCUCUUUCAGGAACAGUCUUUCAGCCAGUCCACUGUUGUACUGACCGAGGUUGUGAAAACAGUCCAACAUGAAGGUUCACACACACCUUCCAGUUUUUCUGACUCUAGCCGGACAUUGCCGUCAAAAAUAAUUUACAUAAACUUACAUACAUUUACAUAUGUAAAUUUAUGUUGGGCUGUGCAGCCAAUGACUGAACAGUUUGUCUGCUGAGGCCUUUGCCCAGACAUUAGGCUGCAGGCUGCAGGCUGCUGGCUGGACUUGCUUGUUCUCCGCUAGCUUGCCUUUUAUACUCGCAAAGCUCCGAUAGUCAACAG
rnacentral:lncRNA from 15 species